rnacentral:rRNA from 1 species
GUGUCAGCAGCCGCGGUAAUACGUAGGUGGCGAGCGUUGUCCGGAUUUACUGGGCGUAAAGAGCGCGCAGGCGGUUGGUCAAGUCGAAUGUGAAAGCCCCCGGCUCAACUGGGGAGGGUCAUUCGAUACUGGUCGACUCGAAGGCAGGAGAGGGACGUGGAAUUCCCGGUGUAGUGGUGAAAUGCGUAGAUAUCGGGAGGAACACCAGUGGCGAAGGCGGCGUCCUGGCCUGUUCUUGACGCUGAGGCGCGAAAGCCAGGGGAGCGAACGGGAUUAGAUACCCUUGUAGUCC